GGAACGAGUAACUUUGAUAAUUAUUGUUGACGGGUUGCAUGAAGCAGACAGUUCGGAGUUGAAUUGCACAGCAGACUAGUAUAAACGAGUGACUGUUCCAACUGCUUGCUGAGCGCUGGGAAGACCUGGUACAGAGAGAUCCCCUGGCAGCGAGUGGUUCGCACGCUUCAGUCCGCAGCGAGCGGAGGACGACACGACUGCUGGAGCCGGCACCAGCGAGCGCGAACUCCGCCGCAGCGCAGCAGAAACCAAGGCAAGUUACGAUGAGAUUCACGACCACCAGAACCGAGCGGUGGUUUUAAAGACUUACUGAUGUAACUGUCCAACACUGACUCUGAACACGCUCGGUGCUCUGAUAAUAUAUUUAUAUUUUAAUACUUGUUGUUGAUUAUGCAUCUUAUUCGCACUAGUCCUUUGGUGCACACAGUUACCUAGCGAAUUUGAAUUAACAAUUGUCUGCUGAAACUGCAUUGUGAAACGGGCAUUAGUAUUAACAUAGUAUUUAUAUUUUUGUGUAGGUGAGGACUUGCCCUAAUUUUUUUGUCCCUUUUCAAUGAUUUUCUUUUGGAGUACGAUAGGCCAUAUUUAUAUGACGAUCUAAUCGUGUUGUUAAUUGGUUUGCAUGCCUUUGUAUACCGCUUGUGAGGCAAGAUUAGUAAUGUUGGAUUUAUCUGUUCCAGUGCCAUCUCCAAGUGACACCCAGUAUACGUUUCAGAAGCAUUGAAGUAUUGAAUGAAUGAUUGAUGAAUGUCACUUAUUAUUGUGAACCUGUUUAUUAUAAUUUAUUAAUAAAAUUUGUGUUAAAAAUUACGGUGAUGCCUUCUAGGUUAUUUACGGUGUCAUUUGGCACCUCAGUGAUAACAAUGUAAUAAAUAGUAUGAAUAUAAUAUAAUGUAAUAAAAUUAUUUUUUUCCUAUACAUUUAGGUAAUUAAUUUUAGUAAAAAACUUAUGCUAAAUAAAUUACAUUCAAUGAUUUUACCAUUAUAAAACAUUAAAUUGUGGUAAUUUGAGUUCUUUUUUAUCAAAAGGCUGAAUGCUGAUUUCAUGUUUUUGGUUAAAUUUUGGUGCUAAAUCGUGUGUAAUUUGAAGUGACAUACUUUGCGAUGUUAUUUCAAUUUUAUCGCAAUUUACCAUAUAAUCUUGUCCCUAGCUAUUCACACCAAACCCUCACUUAGCAUGACUAAUGCUCCAUAAAUAGCAAGGCUAAUUUAAUUAAUGUGUUCCAAAAUGUGUAGGGAAAUAUUCUUUACUUAAUAUAAAUGUGUAGAAUAACACUGAAAAAUAAAUAUGCCACACCAUUUAUCUUGAUACGCCUACCAUAGGUACUUUGCAUGACAAAUACAACACCGAGUAUAUGUGGUUAUGUGCUUAUCACAUCGGCUGAUUGACUUGUCCACCCAGGCGUGACCUUCAACUCACGUCACAUAUCUUUCCACAAACUUUCCAAACCAUCCUUUACUGCAGUGAAACCGAUAUUACUGUCCAGAUAUAUUAACAUUUUAAUUUUUCAAAAAUUUAACUGCUUGGUUCACACCAAUCCUGACAGGCCUGUGAUUUUUUAAAUUGCACCAUUUAUUUAACAACCUUUUCCUUGUAAAUCAUCUGUUCAAUUCUGUUCCAGUAUCUAAUGCAAAAUAUAUUCCCGCUCGUACAACCAACAGCAUCAGACUUUCAUAAAACUUUUGAUAGAGUCAUUUCGUAAAAUUGUGCGCACAGUUGACUUGCUUAAAACUAAAGUGCGACCAACAUAAGUGUAGUCUUCACGACAUUCAGCACGCCGUAUUACUUCUAGUUUUGCCUCAAAUACUUGAACAAGAUGCAUUACAAUCUCACUUGGAAGCUACGAUUACACUAUGAUUCCAACUGCAGGUGCUCGCGCAUGUGCAGUUACCGGCAGAUAAAUGGGCAGACGUUACUUGUGUUUGCGCGUGCGAGUUCCCUGCCACUGGCUAGACUGAAGUUCAUCACGGCCCGGUCUGUGGCUGGGCGACAACGGUACGACGACCCAGUGUUAUACGUGCAGACAACAUAAACAUUUGGUCCUUUACACCCCAUAGCCACAAAUGAACUUGCCAUAGCUGAUGUUUGUACAACAGCAAUAGCGUAGUCAGACCUGCGUGCGCAUCUCUUUUCCCCCCUCGUAUGCCACGAGACAUCUUUUGUUUACCAAGCUGAAGCAGACUUUUUGGCGUCAUUCCAACUUUUUUUUUGUGUGUGGCAAUUAUUGUGCUAACUGAAUUUUACAGCAGUGUUAUUCAAUACUGGGACAGUAAAAUCAACACUGUGCUAAAUUAAUUUGCGGCACACAUUUAAGAUGUGCUAAGUGAGGGAUUUGGUGUGAUAGUAUAUAUAUCGCACUGUCAAAGUAAUAAUAGAGCCAUAUCUCAAAAAAAAUUGUGAAAUUGAGUUAAGAUCGCCAAUGGAAAAAAACAUCUGUCAAUCUUACCAAUGUAAUGAGGCCGUACCUGAAUUUUGAGAAAACAACGGUGAAAACACGAUGCUGCGACGGACGCAACGUCUGAAAUAUAACCGUGUUAUCGCAAUGACAUAGCCUCCUGUUUAAUUAUGUUAAAAGUUUCUACUCUUGACAUGUGGCCGUGUUACUUCGACAGCGCGAUGUGACUACGUGAUGAGACGCCAAGGAAGGAGAGACCUCACAGCAGCCCCUCGCGGGCCAGCGCGUCGAGCAGCGGCAGGCAGCCGUCCACGCCGACGCCGCGCCGGCGCAGCUCGCCCAGCCGCGCCUCCAGCGGCCGCUUGUCCUUGCCCAGCCGCCACCACAGGCGCGCGCACAGCUGCAGCAGCGGCACGUAGAAGCGCAGCAGGUCCACGUCGCUGACGGCGUCGUAGCGGCGCAGCGCCAGCUCCGCGAAGCCCUCGGCCCGCGCCGCCAGCGGGUCCUCGCUGCAGCAGGCCACCAGGCGGCACAGCGCCACCAUCACCUCCGGGUGCCUGCGACACAACACUCUCUCUCACCUCGCCUGCAGCCUUCCCGCAGGUACCUUCUCAGCUUGUUGAGCAGGCGGAAGGUGUUCUCGAGCAGCGGCACGGCCUGGUCAUAGCGCCGCGCCUCCAGCCAGGCGCGCGCCUCCUCCAGCUCGCGGCGCUGCAGGAAGCGGCUCAGGCCGCGCGAGUUGCGCAGCCGGUCCUGGGCGGCCGCACGGCACAGCAGUCCCUCGAAGCCCGCGCUGCGCUCCGAGAUCAGCCCCGGCUCGAAGUUGCCCAGCAGCACCUUCUUGGGGAAGGCCACGCCCGCCAUCAGCCCCGCGUGGUCGCGCCUCAGCGACUCGUACAGCUCCAGGAAGUCCGAGUAGCGGCGCUCGAUCACGGCCGGGUGCGGGUCCGGCGUCGCCCCGUCCUUCCUCAGCAUCACCGUGUACGCCUGCGCAACACGCUCUCGCCCUGAGUUCACCCUGCGUCCGUGCU